rnacentral:lncRNA from 1 species
UCUGUAAAUAGAUGACUUCCCUCUUCCUUGAAUCCACUACCGAAUCCUUGAGGAAUCAUCGUGGAUAGUUCAAGAUUUCGUGAGUUUUUUUUGACCUGCCGUGAGGAAUAGUUUGCCGGAAACCCUUUCCCUAGCUUCGUCGGAUCGAGGUAAAAGCCUAGCAUUGUUUUUCCUAUCUUCUCUGGGUGCUCCCCCAUCGUUUAGAGCCGGCAAAGUCGCUGGAUUUGUUUUAAAAGAGGGAAAUCCCUGUUUUCCUUGUGGUUCCGCCUAUUUCCAUUGACAAUCGGUGUUGGGAUCGACCACUGUUUCACCGACCGCCGGUGACUGUGGCUACCGUCGAUGUCGUCUCCUGGUCAGCACGGUGCGGCACCGUUGGUUGCCGGCCGGGUUUCACGGCCAUGGCCGGGUGAAGAGAAGAAGGGGAAAGAGGGGCUCGGUUUCCCUAUUUGAAGAAGAGAGAAGAG